rnacentral:rRNA from 1 species
UACAGAGGUGGCAAGCGUUGUUCGGAAUUACUGGGCGUAAAGGGCGCGUAGGCGGUCCGGUAAGUCCUGUGUGAAAUCCCUCGGCUCAACUGAGGAACUGCACGGGAGACUGCCGGGCUUGAGUUCGGGAGAGGGAAGCGGAAUUCCGGGUGUAGCGGUGAAAUGCGUAGAUAUCCGGAGGAACACCGGUGGCGAAGGCGGCAUCCUGGACCGAAACUGACACUGAGGCGCGAAAGCUAGGGGAGCAAACGGG